rnacentral:rRNA from 1 species
UGGGGAAUUUUGGACAAUGGGGGAAACCCUGAUCCAGCCAUCCCGCGUGUGCGAUGAAGGCCUUCGGGUUGUAAAGCACUUUUGGCAGGAAAGAAACGUCGCGGGUUAAUACCCCGCGAAACUGACGGUACCUGCAGAAUAAGCACCGGCUAACUACGUGCCAGCAGCCGCGGUAAUACGUAGGGUGCAAGCGUUAAUCGGAAUUACUGGGCGUAAAGCGUGCGCAGGCGGUUCGGAAAGAAAGAUGUGAAAUCCCAGAGCUUAACUUCGGAACUGCAUUUUUAACUACCGGGCUAGAGUGUGUCAGAGGGAGGUGGAAUUCCGCGUGUAGCAUGAAAUGCGUAGAUAUGCGGAGGAACACCGACGGCGAAGGCAGCCUCCUGGGAUAACACUGACGCUCAUGCACGAAAGCGUGGGGAGCAAACAGGAUUAGAUACCCUGGUAGUCCACGCCCUAAACGAUGUCAACUAGCUGUU